GUUGAAUUUACUCAUGUGAGAGAAACCACUCUGUUAUAUAAGUUAAAGGUUCACAUUCUGUCAUUCAUUUUUUCACUUUACAUUAUUGAUAAAAUAGAGAAAAAAAGGGACUAAAGGAGGCAGGAAGAGAAGUAAAAAUAGAGGUGAAUUAAUAGCAAAAAUUAAAUAUUCAAUAUUUCUUUUAACUGCAGUCAGAGAUGGGGAUUAUAUUUGACUAAACAACCAAAUUCCCCACCACAAGCCAGGACUUCACUUUUUAUUUCAAUACUCUUGAUAGAAAGGACCCAAUCAGAUAUUCUGUGUGUGCUAAAUAGUGUACUACCAAGACUAGUAGACCAAGCAAAUAGUUUUGUUUUAUUGUCCAAAUGGUGUAAUAUUUUACUGCAAGUAUAAAUAGCGCACUCAUUUGCCUGAUCCAAGUUCCCAAUGUACUUUAUAAUAAACCAAGUAAUUUUGAGAGAAAUAUGUUGACCAACCCUAGCCUAACACUAUUCACAUAGUUCAAUACUGAAACAAAUUCCACCCAUUAAAAAGUCAAUGGUAUUGCAUUUACUUUUACAAGUUGAAAGAUAAAGACAGAAAUGCAAGAGAUGGAGCAAUAAGAACCAUGUGGUCCCUGCUCUUUAAGGGUCUCAUCCAGAGCCUGUUAAGGUAAUGCGCAUAUUCUUUUUGAUUUUCACAGACUUUGCAUAAGUCAAAAAUUAUUGAAAAUUAAAAACAGGAAAAGAACCAUUCUGUUUAUAUUUGUUAGGUUAUAUCCAUAAUGAACUUGUAAAAAAUGAAAACAGAAGAAAAUAUUAAAGCAGAUCCAAAUAUUACAUUUAUUCUAGAAUUCAAGAUUACCUCAUUUUCUGCUCCAAAGUAAGUGCACAAUGUCAUGAACACCAGAUUUUUCCAAAGCCUUUACUGAAAACAUUUCCCAUAAUGGAAUACUUCACUUUGCUUUCUUCUUACAGCUGUUCCUUCUAGAAAAAUGCACUUUUGGACAAGUAGUUAGGAAUAUCAGGGGGGUAGUCUGGAGCAAACCACAACAUGAGACACCAAAGCAUUACAGAUUGCUCUCAUGGGAAUUGCUGGGUGGGAAGUGGUGGUGGGUCAGAAAAAAAGCCAAAGGAGAGUGUCCAGGAGUGCCCCAGGGAUCAGAAGCAGGGCGAAACAUCACUCUUACAAACAAAGAUUUCUGACCUAACCUAGAUUUUCAUUUAUGGUUAGACCAGACAGAUUUUAUUCUUACAAUGGAUUUUUAUCUCAGAUAAAAUCAAACAAGCAAAAGGACUAUAAGAUUAGAUCCUCAUUCUGCACCCACCAAAGGAGAACUGAGGAAAAAAGAGAUGGAGCGAUUUGCUGGGGCAAGAUGAGCCCUAGGUUGAAAGAGACCUCCUGUCCUGUUCAGAGGCUGCCCUUUCCUGACUGUGAUGUAGAAGAAACACAGCUAUCAGUAGGCCCUUGCAAAAACCCUCCACCUGUUUUUGCUCAAAGUGACAAAGCCCAGAGGACAAUGUCUGUAUUCCCUACUAAUCUGUAGGAAGCGUGAUGUAGCUGAUGCAAUUCCUGGCCCCAGCACACCUGCAAGGUCUCAUUGAUCUGCUGCUCACUGCUCUGAAAACUCAGAAAUCUAUUAUCAGUGUAAGCAUGUGCUUAUUGAUCAGAUUACCUGCUUCUGUUCCCUGUGUGUACGUAAUUGUACCAGCGUGCAUGCACGCACACACACGCACACAUAAAUAUACACACAUGUAUAUGUUUUCAUAUAUACAGGCAUGCACACACAGGUUACAGGGAUGUGUGUAUGUUAAAGGCUUUACUUUUUUUUUAUUUAAUUUUUUCUUUACAAAACUGCACAUAAAUAAAAAGAACGGACCUUCUCUGUGAAACGUGAGCACAGGAGCACUCACAAGUGGCCAAGAGCUGCUAAAUAAUUAAUCAAUAGAGCAGUGUGGCAGUUUGAAAUGUAAAUGUGAUGGAUGAAGGUGUGAUGCUUGUCAUCAAGCAGAAAAUGAUGUGACUGGAAUGGAUAACCCACAGUACCUGCUAACUUGCAAAAGCUUGGACACAAAGAUAAAGUAAAGCCAUCAGAAAGCAGCCCCGGCAACCCCUAAUUCUUGCCUUUGACCCACAAUUCACUUUCAUGUCUCUGUCCCAGAAGAGAUGUUUAAAAAAAUGAUGAAGAGAGAUCUUGGGGUGGGAAAGGGGAGAGAAAAAAACCAUCUGAAGAAAUGCUACCUGACAAGGCUGCAGGCUACAUUCUUGAGAACACCUUUCUUUUCUUUAUGUUCCCCUACUCCUGUUAAAUAAAAAUGCGGCUCUUUUUUUCCCUUUCCUUUCUUCCAAAACUCUCCUGAGCCAUUCCUGCAAGUGGUUCUGUGACUCGGGAGCUGACAACAGCCGCGUGCAAAGGAACAAAGAAUGAGAGUGACAAUUCAGAGUGCACGCAGAUAGUCUUCCUUUGGUCGCAAGAUGACAGUGAGAAUGGAUUGUCAAACUGGACCACUAUGACAAUUUACUCUGGGGGGAGAAAAUCCUGUCAAGAAGGAGAGCAACCACUCAAGAACUGGAUGAGGGUUUUUUACAAAAUUUUUAAUGACCCAAAGAUGAAAGCCAGGUUUAUUAUACUUAACUAUGCAAACCACUUUGGAAAAAAUAACUAUUAAAAAAAAAAGUCAAGGUUUGUUUUUUCUGGGGUUUUUUUGGUGCAAAAUGGUACUUUUACAUCAUAUUCACUUAAAUUAAUAAUGUAAAUAAUUAUGUGAGGACAAAAAAUCCAGAAAAAAAAGAUAAAACUAAACA